rnacentral:rRNA from 1 species
UAAGGAAUAUUGGUCAAUGGAGGCAACUCUGAACCAGCCAUGCCGCGUGAAGGAUUAAGGCCCUCUGGGUUGUAAACUUCUUUUAUAUGGGAAGAAAUGUACUUUUUCUAAAGUGCUUGACGGUACCAUAGGAAUAAGCACCGGCUAACUCCGUGCCAGCAGCCGCGGUAAUACGUAGGAGGCAAGCGUUAUCCGGAAUUACUGGGCGUAAAGGGCGUCUAGGUGGGACGUCAAGCGGGGUGUGAAAGCUCCUGGCUUAACUGGGAGAGUGCGGUCUGAACUGACGACCUAGAGGGCAGGCGACGGAGGUGGAAUUCCAGGUGGAGUGGUGAAAUGCGUAGAGAUCGGGAGGAACACCAGUGGCGAAGGCGGCCUCCGAGCCUGAACCUGACGCUGAAGCGCGAGAGCGUGGGGAGCAAACG